CCCCGGGGGGAGCCGGGGGGGCCGGGGCGAGGGAGGGCGUAUAAUAAACAGCAUCGCUGUCACGCAGGCAGGGCUGCCGGCUCCCAAAGCCGCCUCCCCGCGAUAACAAUCCAGUAUUAGAACUAAAGGAAACUCAUCCCAUAGACGUCCAGGGACAGAGGUCUCUUUAUCUCUUGCAUAUCAGCUGCAGUGGAUAUGAGUUGCCAAGGCAAGAUUUCAAGGUAAGAACUCUGCUCAUCUUGGACCAGCUGAAAAUUCUUAAAUAUGCUUUGCAAACAGUCCACCAUCAAGCUGUAGUUAAUAUGCUGAGAAAGGAUGGAAGAAGCUGCAAAUUUCACUGCUGGUAAAUGAGAAAUCAAAUGCUCCACACGUUAACAGCAUGGAAAAUGACCUCAGCAGAAAUAAGAAAUGAGUUUCUUAGUGUGCAUAACUCCGUCAGCCACUGAUUACAGCACACAAAACAUGAGACCUGCACAGGGCCCGUUCCACUUUGUUUCCUGCAUUCUAUCUCCCUCUGAAUGGAACAUUAUCUACCUCUUCUACUCAGAAACGGGAAAGAGAAAAAUCUGCUUCCCAUCCUGCUGCCAGUUGCUAUAUUUCCUGGGCAGGGUGAUAUGUACAAGCAGGGGACAGGGAAUAAAGGCAAAGGCCCCGCAGGUCCAUGCAGAGAAGCGACACGGCCAGCUAUAUCGCCAUCAGUCACUGAGAUGAGUGGUGGCAGAGGGAUCUGUCCUGAAGUUGUGGCCAACCGGUGGAUUUUGCUUUCCCAGUGAUUCUCAGGGAACAGUAUUCUUAAGCUAUGGAGAAGCUUUAAGCCAGUCUUGAUUAUUCCCUGCUGUUCACAUGAGGAGUAAAAAAGCUAUGUAACUGGUUGAACAUUUACAUAGGGAAUAAAUUCCAUUGACUGAACAGAGUGUGGAUCAAUCCUUAAGAAAAAUGCACAUGGACAUAAAAGGCCUAAUUUCAAAAGCAUCCUCCAAAGUCAUGAUUAAAUUUUUAAACACACCUAAGUUUUGCUCGAAGUACUCCAUGAUCACGGUGAAAACACACCGUUAUUGGACAUUCGUACGCCGCCUUCUCUGCAGACCUUAUUCAUAUUGCAGUCUUACACUUGCUGCUUUGUGACAUGCUGCUUAUAUAAAUGCACAAAGAUCAUCAUAUUAUAUUGCCUCUGACAUUCUGUCUCUGAUCAUCUUAUAGCAUUUACUUUCUCCACUCAAACCCCUUCUAAGAUCAGACUAUAGACUUUACUAUAAGAUACUGAAAAAAACCCUCCUUUUUACUUGUGUGUCGGUAGCUGAUACAAUUUCCUUUCCUUCUGCAUCUCUUUUUUCUGCAUGUAAAAAUGUGUUAGUGAUGAUCAUGAUGAUCAGUAAUUUGCUUGUGUCCACAGUAAGCUAGUGCUUAUCUGUUAAAUAUUUUAUUAGGAAAUAGUUCUGAGUCACAACUGAGCCAUUCCCCUGUGCAACACGUCUGAGAGCACUGUCUGCAACCGCUGCACUCCUUCAGGUCAGCAGAAAGAUACCAUACUGUUGUAUGUCCAUCCCAACAUACACAGAAAGGCACUUACCAUGCCCAUUAGGAUAUUCUUAAUUACUGGAGAUAAGAAGCUCACCAGGGGAUCUCAAACCUUCUCCAUAAUAAGCUUAGAAGGGAGAAGGAUAUGUAUCAUAGCUGGAGCUGGUUAUAUACACCCUGUUUCAUGAAUCUGCUUAGGUUAUACACUGGGGCAAUCUCCUAAUCAUAUUAAAUUAGACCAUCUUCAAGGCGACUGCUUUACAUGUUGCAGAGGUGUGAAUAUAUAUCCCAGAGGCUGAAAAGGUUGGAGUACUUCAGUGAAAAUUACCUCCUGUGUGGUUGGGAGCCUUCUGUUGAUGGCUGGAAAGAUUUGUAUGGGACAGAAAUGUUAUUAGCAAGUAUGCAUUGCCUCCAUUCCUUGUUCUCUAUACUAUACUGUGGCUAAAGCUAGGGCAGAUAAUAGAUGCCUACAGUCAGCACAGGUUAGCGAUUUCCAGUUCAAACCUUUGCUUUCAGUUGCUUGUAUGUUUUUCAUAAUGUAACCAUCAGAACUGAAAUUUUCCAUGAUGAUUGUGCGGCUAAUAAUAAAACUCCCACAAGUUCUUGACAAUGAUGGUAGAAGAAAUAACUGUACAAUUACCAAAUUGCCAGGUACCUUUUGCUGCCCUAAGAGUGUCCAUAGAAAUGUAGCCAAGUUGCAAGACUGUGGGAAACAUUCAUAUGCAGCCAAUGUGGGCUGAUAAACAAGUCUCAGAUGUUCUGUUGGGACUAAACAUGCUCUAAGCUAAAGUGAAUAUGCUCGGGAGUAAGCUAAAGUUCAGCUCGGGAGUAGAGAUGACUGUGGAUGCAAUGCUCAUGGAAGGAAAAGAUGGCUGUUUCCCUACUAAUACCCAAACAGUACACCAGGGUGGAGUGACCAAAUAUCUGUGCAGAACUGGGAGAAACUGAAAGGGGAGCAGGGAACAGUUAAAGACUGGGAAGGUCAUGGGAAAAGCAGCCAGAAGUGGAAGAAUGCAAAGAUUUCAGAAUGUCAUAGAAUAUACAAAAAAAAAUCCACAUAUAUUCUAACAAAAUUCUGUGGCCCAAUGUGUUUCAUUCUCUUCCUCUAACUUAUCUAUCAGAGAUAAUGAUCUAUGAAUGUGCUGCCAGUAACGUGUCAUCUCAAAAGGAAGUCUUGACACUGCGUUCAAAGGUGUCAGACUCUAUGACCUUCUAAAGUCUCUAAGUGAGAAUCAGCCCAAGCUUUUCUAUGGGGGUAAAAACAGACAAGCCCAGAAAGAGAUUAUUAAAGAUUGUGUCACAAACCACCCAAGAGGAAAAAUUUAAAGUUGUACCAGCAACCCAGACCUGUGUAUUUUCUAACAUUUGACUACCUGACUAUGCAACUUCAUUCUUCUUUGAAUUUUCUUUUGGAUCAUUUCCAAAAGAAAGAUACAAAAUUUCUUUUGGAUCGUCACGUAAUUUGGCAGCUGUUUGUUGAGAAAUGCUCAUCAAAAUUCAGUACUUCCACUAAUAUUCAAUAAAUGCAGUUUAUUCAAUAAGCUAACACUCAAAAAACAUAGUAUCAAGGUUAUUGCAUUGGACAGAAGUUGCCCAGUCUCCUUUCACUUUGCUGUUCCCAUUCUUUAAAGAAUUUGGUAGAGAUGUCACUCAUCACAAUGAAAUUAAUGUAUUUUCAUCUUCAUUUGAUAUACCAAUCUACAAAAUGCCUUCUAGAAAGGCUGGGUGACAAGCACCAUCUCUCAAGCCAUAAGGCCAUAAUACCUAGGAAAGAAAACCUGCAACCGACAUUUCUCCUCUGGAGACAUAUUUUAAAUGUGUCACCUAAAGCCCUAGAAAUUUAUUGGCUGAGAACUAUGUUGAGAAUUGGCAGGAACAAUAAAUUUAGCGCCAGAUUCAUGACACUUAUCCCACCAUAGUUUUCCCUUAUAGAUACUGGAGUAAAGGAUUUCUCUCACAUGCCCUUCGGUACAUUCAUCACAGUGCCUUUAGGAAUGUGCCUUAAUGAAUAAUUACAUUCCAACAUGGACAGCAGAGCGUAUUUACUUAAGGAGCUUUGUAACUUUACUUUUAUGUCACCUGAAUGACAGUUCCAGAAAGGAGGGAACAGAAUGAAAUAAUAUGACUUGCAUGCCACCUCUUGAGACUGUCACUGCUUUGUAUCAAACACUCUCAGGAGCAGGUUUGAUGUUGGGAUUUACUCUGGAAUUCACUUGGGUUAAAGAACCUAAGCUCUGAAUCUUAUGUUGUAAUGCAGUGUGAUGCAUAGAUAUUAUAAUGAGCAAAAUAGUGAAUUAAUUAAUAAUUCUAUCAGAUGUUUCUUCCUGGAUAGUUUGGCAUUGACAGGAGUUUAACAGAAUCCACACUGAGCUACUGGAAUGUCCUCCCAACUCUGUUGAAAUUAGGAUAAAAACUCUUAGUGAUUUUCCCACGAUGUUAGAUCUCAAACUUGUUUUACAUCAUUGUUCUCUAUUCUCAUGGCCAACAUCAUCAACCUCUUGUUGACUCAGAUCUACAAAAUGGGCCUUAUCCUCAGAUUUCUCCACCUCUUUUACCUCAGUUGCUUCCAAAUCUUUCUUUGUAUUUAUCUAUGAUAUUUUUUCUUCUCCAUGAGACUGGAAUAGGCUGCCCAGGGAGGUGGUGGAGUCACAGACCCCGGAGGUGUUCAAGGAAUGUUUGGAUUUUGUGUUGAGGGACAUGGUUUAGCGACUACUAUUGGUGAUGGGUGGACAGUUGGAUUGGAUGAUCUUGAAGGUUUUUUCCAGCCUUGGUGAUUCUGUGAUUCUGUGUUCUUUUUUGUCUUCUCCUGCACUCGUUCCCUCUCUCUCCAAUCCACGCAAAGCAGUGCUCCGCUCUAUCUGUGUUCUACACCCUGGUUUUACUGGAUCAAGUAUCCUACUGCUUCUUUCUCACCUUCUCACCCUUGUUCCCCCAAGACCUGCUGCCUCAUCCCUCCAGGAUGGUACUAGUGCUCCAGGGGGUUUAGGAUUAAGGACUACAAAAUGACUGGGGCUGUAAGUAGUCCUCAGAGGCUGUGUGACUGGUGAUGCUGAAAGCAGAGACCAUGAGAGUCAUCUUCAGUGAUGGAUGCCAAGGUGGGAAUGGACAUAGGGAAAGUCUUGGGCGAGUUUGUGUGGAUGACACUGCACCUGGUGGAUUGCAGGGGAAGGAAGCCGUCACUGGCCAGGCAGAAAAUGUGGCUAGUUAUUUUUUCUCACUUCCUGAUUCCCAAUGAAGAAGGACUUGGCUCCUUAGGCAGCCACUCCUUUCCUCUCUGGGGAAUGAAGGGAAGCUGGAAGGGAGAGAUUGAAGCUGCUGAUCAUACCACCACACUUGGUCUGAAACAUCAUCACUUAAGUCUUCUGGUGUACUCCAAAAGAUCAGCACACCGCCCUGAGCAGCACAAGAACUGCUUCCAGCUGGCUCUCAUGAGAACUCCUGAAAAGCACAUUUCUUCACACAUUCCACAUCUCCACUGCCUCCAGAUCAUGUUUCUUGCAGCGGCCUGCAAGGCUGCCCCUUCCUACUUACAUCUUGUCAUGUGGCAGCCACAUGUUGAUUGUCUCCCUGCUAGCCAUGCCAAAGCUAAUAUCCUGCUCACCUAUUUGUUUCUCAGAGAUCUCCAGCCUGUGCUCCCUGCUUGUGACAUGUCCUUCUUAUGCUGCUUCUCAAGAACCACAACCUCAGUCUUUUGAAUUCCUUUCCACAAACUCCAUCCUGCUCGGACACUCAGGACGACUGAUUCAGUUUACCACAUUUCUAAUGAGGGAGGGUUAGUGUAGCAUAGUGUAAAGAACCUGAAACUGGAAUGGCAUAUAGGAUGAGAAGAAAAGUUCAUGGGUAAGAAUGCUUAAUGACAAUUAAGAUUCUAGCUUGUAAUUGAGAUGACUUUGCCCAGCAUAUCAGCAAUCCCUUUGUUGUAUAAUGUAUCCCUUUCCCCAUGGUCUGACUUUGUUUUCCUCAACGCUGCCCUCUUCAAAGAAGGCACAGUUUUCUUCUUCUGAGUUUGGAAAGUUAUGUGUUUAUAAAUAAUAAAUAGAAUAAUAAUAAAUCAGGGCUACUGCACUUGCUAGCAAACAGCCAAUAUGCACUAGGUCUCUUUGAAGUCAAAGGGGCUGUUUCUGCUGCUCUUUAUGCCACUUUCUCUACUUUGGAUACAAUGAAGUUGCUCCUGUUUCAUAUACUGAGAAAUGACUUGCUAAAAUGUGAAAUUUCAAUAAGCUACAAACACAAUAGAAAUACUACUAAAAGACAAAUACAAAUCCUAACAGAAUUAUGGAGAAAAUAUUAUCAGAUAAGAAAUUCACCCGUUUCUUGAGAAGUGACACUAUUUAUCUCUAAUUGCAACAUAAUGACUUGGUAAGGAAAUGGCAUGCUUCUGUAAACUUGUUUGUUUUCUUCUUUAGCUUUCACUUUUGUUUAUGUGGAUGCUAUCUUAUUGAACAGAAAUACCAGUUCAAACCUCACCACUGUAGUUCAGAGAACUACAGUGUUUCAGAAUAAACAGAAAAAUGAUACCCAUCUUCACUGAGUAGCAGCAAGGGGCUUAGUAUAUUGCUGGAAGACAAGCAUAAAAUAUUUAGACUGGUUAGUAUUAAGAAAGUCAAAGAGAAUAUUAUGAGAUGAAGCAGCCAAACAGAAUUGGCAAUGAUAGUCUUAUAAUGGAAAGGUAUUUAUAGAGUGUUGUUCCCAUUGGACAGGAUGCUGCUGUCUUACUCAAGCAAAUCCCCCACUGAAAAUUUCAAAGGGCAUAUUGCCUGCCUAGAGAUGAGAAGGGACUUGGGGAGCAAAAACGAUACAAAAAACUUCUGUCCAUUCAAGGCAUGCCUGGUAAUAAUGCCAUAUUAAAUGAUCGUAUUACAUGGUGGUGCAACUACAGUUCUCUGACUUCUGGGCUCUGUGUGCUUGCCAUAUGGGGCAGAGCUGGCUCUACAAAUGUUAAAGUCAGUCUCCGUUGCCAUGUCUGUGCCCACAGAGAAGAAAAAGCUCAAACAUUGACUUUUUGAUAUCCAGUGAUCGACAGAGAAUUUCUGAAGCAUGGCUAGCAGUGGAAAGGCAAGAACUGGUACAUGUGGUUAGGCAUCAGAGUCCUUUAGUUUAAAUGUGAUGCCCUGACUGCCCCAGUUUAAACAGAGAGCUUAGGUCUCUGAAGGUCUAGCUCUGGACUUAAGUGACAUUUUGGAUCCUGAUAACAGGAGAAAAUCCACUGUGCUAUACAUUGCUGGGUCUCAGGCAGCAAUGGUAUGAAAUGGCAGUGGGCUGUAAUGUGUUUUCCCAUGCAAUAUUCUUCUCUGCCAACUGCCAGACUACCAGAAUAGCUUUUACUUCCCACUGGUAGCUUAAGGAGCUCACCAUACAUUUGACUACGGCAUCCAGCAUAGAAGAAUUCAAAUAUAGAGAGAUUACCUGGGUAACAGUAAUGUCCAUAUAACAUUAACAAGAAAUGGGAAGAAUCGAGAUUUAGGGCAGUAAUAUGAACCAGUAACAGCAAGUUACUCUAUAAUUGAAAACCAUGAGCUUUUUUUUAUGUCUAGUACUGGCUGUAGACUUGGUGCAAACUGUUUGUUUGCUUCAACAGUGGGAUUCUCAGUGAACAGGCAAAAGAUAUUUCCAUUUUGUGUUCAGUUCACAAAGUUAAUAAAGUGACAGAAGUGACAGUUGGUACACGAAUUAAAGCGAGGACUUCACUCCUCAGUAAAUAUGUUGUUUAGAGUAAUAAUCAUUUAAUAAUAACUGGCUUUGUAACAAAGGCCACUAGGCCAAAUGCUCUUGGUGUGACUUUGCUGGCAGCGAUACAAGGAACGAUUCAGCCAGGGUGUACCCAGUCCUCUGUGGCAAAAGGCAACAAAAAGAGGCAUACUCACACAAGCUUACCGAGUGUUCUGCUCAUUUACAGGCUAUUAAUGAAAAACUAGAGAAUUACAUUUCUAUUAAACAUUACUCAAUCCAUAUAAAGAGAUAAAUAAAUGUACAAUGGCAUUCAGAGAAACGUAAACAGAUAAUGCUGGUAUAAACCUUCAGACAUCAAGAGUGUUACAUACACAUUCCUUGAUGCCACUGCAUAUGAACUCAUUCUAUCUCUGACACACACACAUGAUAAUGAAGCUAUUGGUUCCUACUGAUCCUGAGAAUCCCUGAAGGGCUGGGCAGAGGUCCAAAGAGCUGUAUCAUAGCAGGUCAUUCUGCCACAUAUUUGUCUUUUUGACACUAACAUUUGCCAGGAAAUCCAUCAUUGUCCAUGCAGCACCAACAUGUGAUAUGGUAAUAAAAAUGUUUAUGUGCAGUCUCUGUCAGAGUUUUGCAAAGGAAGCAUUAGAGGGAACAUAGGUAGUGCUGCACCCUCUUUUUUUUUUUUUUUUAACUCCCUUGCUUUUUUGGCCAAAGCUAUGACACCCUUUGAUCCACAGUGCCUUUCUUCUGACAGCAACCACUCUAAAUACUUUCUUCCUUUCACUUCUUACUGAAGUGUCCCACAAGCUCCUUUAUUUGAAGGUUGUACUUCAAGCACCUAAACAUAAGGCUUAGAAAGCCUAAAUGCUUGUCUCCAGAUUCAUGGGAUGUAGUCCAUUGCCAGUCACUUCAAAGGCAGCUGCCCCACUACACAGCAUGCUCAGCUCCAAUCUGCCACUGAACGGGCAGGAGUAGGGAGCUGCUGCUCCAGUAAGGAGCAGAAGCCAGGUCAGGAUAUGUACAGUUGUUAUUACUGUAAUCGAUUGCAAUGUGGGUUAUGCUAUGAUGCUCCUGGGGCCUGGAGCUUUAUUGCAGCUAUCUGUACACUGACUGAAUCACUCUGAUGUCCUACAAAAAAACUCCAAAACAUAAAUGGCUGAACAAAAUUAAUGUAGUAGAGACACCUCUAUAAUGACAAAUUCUACAGACAAACUCUUACCUGAAAGUACUAAAGAUGAUGUGUCUUGAUGUUGCCAUACAUCUGAAUAUGCCUAUGCAGCAUCAGAGCUGAAUCUCCUCUGAAUUCAGUGGCGUUUUCCCUUUCUGGGCUAACAGCUCUGCUGGGGAUGGAUUUGCUUUCAAAAUGCUAAUUUAUUCCAUCUUUAAAGCUGAUUCAUCCCAAGGCUGGGAUUUUGUUUUUUGGUUAGUCGGAAUUCUUCAACUAGGAGGAAGCGUCAAUAUGGUGACAAAGCUAGUUUCACUUCUAAACUGUUAAACCUAUAGAAACCAGUUCCAUAUAAUUGCAUAUAUAUAUAUAGGUGCUCCUGACACGUGGCUCCAGCUAUUUAGAUAGAAUGCUUUUUUAUCUAUGUUUUGGUUUUGACUAAAGUCAGGGAGGCCCAGUCAGGGGCUCCUGCACCAUAUGAAAGGAUUCCACAAGGCUGCUUUAGUGUGAAAGUAAAACCAGAUGACACCACAGAAAAAGGGCCACUUGCUUGCCAAAACUGCUACAAUUUCAAAAUUAAUCUACACACAUUUUCUUUUUUUCUUUUUUUUUUGUCAUUAUUUAUAACAUAAAAAUGCUUUUAAAUUGGCCUUUAUAGCAGGCUUUCCAAACAACUUUUUCUUCCCAUUGGAUUUCUAAUCAUAUAAUUUCUAAUAUGAAAGGAAAAUAAUGUAUUUCUCUAAAAUUAGCUUGUUUUCAGAAAUACAGUAGGUUUCCUACUUUCCUUACAAUGCAGAUACUGUGCACGACAGGUACAAACACUAAUCAAAACAACCCACAUUCUAAAGCAUUCCACAGGUGACAUUUCCCUUUUAGCUGUAACCUCAAUUUUUUAAUCAAAUUUGAGUGCAAGUAACCUUUUGUCCAGUGCUUGAUCCUCUAUAAAAUAAUUGAGUCAAAAAGCAGCUUCGUACAUGCUGUCCUGGGCUGGCCAUGUAUUCCUUUAUGAACAUUACUUGUGCUCCUUGUUUUUAUCUAAAAUUGUUAAAAAUAUUUCCAGUUUGCAUCACUAGAGAUUUUAGAAUGUUGGAUGUUUUAGAAUGUAUGAUGACCCAGAAGCCAAGCACUCAAAAUACACCUUACUUGAAUUCACGUUUCUCCUUCUACACUAAAAUGGCCAUCAGAGUGCUUAGAUGAUGCAGAUUGCUCACAGGGAAAAACAAUGCAAAGCCAAGUUCAUAGGCAGUGUUUGGAUAUACUUUGGGGGAAUGUAUUUCUGUUUACUCUGCAGGCCUAUCACCCAGGUCAGCAGAGCCUAAUUUGUGACCAGUGCCUAGCAAAAGCUAUGCACAUACAGGUUAUGUACAUACAUUACACUCUGCACCUGUAGAAGUGAGCAGCGAAUUUCACAAUGUUAGCUUCAUUUAUGAUUAGCAGUAAAUAACAUAAUGUGUACUUGAGUAAUAUAUUUCUCAUGGCAUGUCAGGGAGGCUAAUCUGAAUAGAUGUGGCUAUAUAUUUAAAAUCAUACAUUCUGUAUAUUUUAACUAUUCCAAGACCAUUAAUUCUAUUUACCACAAAAACAAUGCUUUUGUUGUAGACCAAAAAAGAGUCAUACAAUUUGUCAGGGAGAAGUUACCAGAGGAUUCUCCGCCUCUUAAACAUCACUAAAACAGGGAGGUCAGUGAGUCCUUUCCAUAAGAAAGACAUAAUGGCUGCAAGGCUGAUGGUUUCUUCAAAAAAUUCUAGUGUCAAGCAGCCCAGGAGUUCUUAAGACAUAUCUAGGAUACAAUGUGAAAAGUGUUUAGUUAGAGGAAAAGAGACAGGCCCAAAUAAGAUUAUGUGGAACACAAAAAUUCACUGGGAAAGAAUUUUGAACAAGCAGUUGCAUAUAAAGGCUGGGCUUUGGGGCUGGGUGUGGGAUAAAAAAGCUUCAGGCCAAGAUCAUCUGAUUUCUUCUUUAAUCAGAGAGUCUGUGACUACAUAUUCUGUCAAAUAAAGAGAUGUGUGAACUAAACAUGUCUUCACAUCCAAGCGCGCAGCACUGGCUAACGGGGUCAACAGAAGCAACAAUGUGUUUGUAUGAAAAUUAACUGGAAGAAACACCAGCAGACAGAGCCAUAAAAUGCUGCAAAACCAGGAGUUCCGAAUUGCUCUUUAGUCUGAGGGUAAACCAAGGAAGUUUUGGCAAAUUCUUCUAAGGAAAAAGGGAAUUCCACCAGGAAGCUUAUACUAAAAGUUAAUUUCUCAUCCCCUUCAAGAAGUCUGUCAGCCUGUCACUCACAGAAACCUUUACUACCUUUCCUUGUACACAUGGCCACCAGCUAUAUUCUGCUUAAUUGUAAGCAAAGAAGACUGUGGUUAUGAAUGGUUAGGGAAACAGCUUUAAAGGGAUGCCAUCCAGAGGGACCUGGACACGCUUGAGAAGUGAACCCACACAAACUGAAUGAGGUUCAUCUAAGCCUCCUUUAAGGUAUUGCUGGGGCAAUGCUGGGUAUGCAUGCAGACUGGGAAAAGACUUCCAGAGAGCAGCUCUGCAGAGAAGGACUGGGGGUCCUGGUGAAUGGAAAGCUGGACGAGAGCCAGCAGCAUGUGCCUGCAGCACAGCAGGCCAACAGCGUCCCAGGCUGCAUCAACUGGUGCUGGAGCACCUCUACUAUGAAGAGAGGCUGAGGGAGUUGGGCUUGUUCAACGUGGAGGACAGAAGGCUCCUGGGGAGAGCUCACUGCAGAAUUCCAGUAUUUGAAGAGGUCCUUUAAGCAGGAGGUGGACCAACUGCUGGAGGAGUUUUUUUUUGGUUAAUUUUUUUUAAUUUUUUUGAUUUUAUUGUCAAGAAACAAACUUGAGACUCAAAAGCACUGCCACUAUUAAUAAAGUAGAAUAUUAGUGAGGAAGAUUCUGCAAGACAUACUGGCAUAAGGAUGGUGGCUUCAACAUUUCACCGGUCAUUUAUUGGUGUAGUUAAUGACUCUGAAGCUACUUAGCACAUGGUGGGUGAUGCUAAGCAUGGUAUACUUGCCAGAACAGCUUGUUCAGCUGGGCUCUUCUCCCUGGGUGCCCUGCCUUAGCCAAACAUAUUCCCUGCACAUUGACCCAUGCCAUGGACAUGCUGCUGCUUGCCAAGACACUGCUGGGUCAGAUGGAUUGCUUUUGCCCAGAGGUAUUCUGAAAGUGCUGCCAUUGUUGUAUUGGUGCACAGAUACAAGUUAGAUCUUCUAUUUUAUUUUAAACAAGCCAUUCAGCUAACACAGAAAAGACAAGAGGGAAAAGCCAGAUGGAGAACAUUUAUGCUACCAUUAAUGGAGCCCUUCCCCGACCUCUGACCUUCCUCACUAGGAGGAUUUUCCAUGUUUUGCUCUAAUUAUUAAGAGAUAUAUUUCCCUGAAGUACUGAACAGUUUCCAGCAGAGGUCUCUGCCUACUAAUAAUUAAAGUUUGGCUGGACUGCUUACACACAGCAGGGGUCAAAAAUUGCUCUAAAUCACUGGUAGGCUUUGUCCCUUUACAGGAUUGAGAAACAAAACUGAGGCCUCAUGCAUGCGAGAGCCCACCUUCAAAUCAUCAUCUAUUUCACAGAGUGGUAAUGCCUAUCUGUUACAUAGAUGGAGAUUCUCAUGAAAGCUUUUCUUAUGUAAGAUAUUUGAAAUAAGUCUGCUGAGGCUUGCAUAGCAGAUGUAGCCUAUCUAUCUUAACCAACGGGUUUCAAAGAUUUAAGAAUUAAGAGACAGAGUACAUCAGAGAAUUAUUAAACUGUAAACAUCACAAUUCUUCUGGAUGCAAAACAGACGAAUUCAAGGGAAGAAAAGCUUUUUUUCCUCAGAGUAUCCUGUGAUCCCUAACUUGAGAUCUGACUACAAUCAAGAGCAACUGCUCCAAGAGAUAUUUAGCUUUUAGGCUAUAAUCUCUUUGCUUCUCAUCUGUCUCUAACGCAAACUUACUUUCUGGUUAUGAGAAAAUGAUCUAUUUUUAUGCCUACAUUUCCCUGUCUUUAAUUUUAUUUACUAAUCUACUUCACUGACUGGGAUGCACACAUAGAACACAAGGGAUGAAAAAUAAGGAUUAAACUUUUCCACCUCUAGGUCUGUUCUCUAAUUGCUCUGUGCAGGAUCCUAAUUUACCAAGAAACUUUAAGAAGUCCCAAACAGAGGCUCUUUUGAAGCUCAAACAGUAUCACUGGGGUGGGGCAAGUUCCCAUCCCUCACCUCAGGAAAGAACUUAACCCUGAUCUGUGCCAAGCCAUUUGCUGGUAUGUACAUUUUGCUAUGGCAGAGAAGAGUGUGAUGCGAGUGUCUCGAGGCAGAAUCAUCAUGCUUCCCUAAGCUAGCAGUACAAUUGCAAUCCUUUCCUGCAUGUUAACAUGACAAUAAUUGUGUUACAGCAACAAGACACAGCUAAUGGUUGUUCAUCUUGAAACCUUCUAUUCUGGUGUUGUCUUUGAACUAUAUUAAAGAUGUUUUUUUCCUUCACGUCCAGCUUUCCAAAAAUCAUGGUUCCAUAUUUCAGACUAAAAUAAGGCCACUGGCCAGUCCAGCACAUCUAUGGUAUCACCAGCAGCUUUUGUAAAGAGAAGACCACUGGGCAAACGCUACUGGAGCAUUCCCAAGGUCUGACCCUACCAAUCUCACUAGGUUUUGUAGGGAAUGCACAAGGAACUACAAGCCAGUUUCUUAGUAAAUAUCACUCAUACUGCAAAAUCUAGCAUUGCUGCAUGACAGCUCUAGAUAUGUAUGCACAUAUUCUCUAACAUUCACUUUGUUCCCACAAAACAUAUGUGCCCAGCACAAACUGGGACAUUCUAGACAGUACUGGAAGCUUCACAGAUAGCACUGAGAGCAACACCAA